CCGAAUUUUUAUAAGUAAACAUCGUAUAAAAUUGUGAAAUUAUUCGUUGCUUUCAAAACUCCUUCUCGUAUAGUAGAAUAUUGAUUACUGGCAGUCCCAGUUGACAAGUCCUUGGAUGGCUGAAUUAACAACAUUUUGUAGAUUCAUAAAGUAGAAACCAUUAGCUGAAAUGUAUCUUACGGGUUUUCGAAAAUUAUAAUAAUUGUAGAAGUGACCGUCGUUUCAAGACGUUUCCAAAUACGCUGGACUGUGUGGUCGAGAAUCCUACGGUGCGAAAAGUACAAGUGGAAUAUCGCGCUGCGAGUUUCAGAUGGAGCGUCAAGCAAACGGAUGCACGAAUAGAGUGAAAUUGCAAGCAUGGUAAAGUGAGACAAGCUACAUUGGUCGUCGGUGUGACUUGUUUCGCUUGUGGUUGUACCGAUAUGUCGUGCUCUUUUGCUCACUCGUCACUCCCUCUAUCUGUCUAAAACUACGAAGGCAGCACUGUUUAGCUGUGAAGCAUCAACCAACCAGAGGAAAAGAGCACUUUCUCUACCUGCUUCAUAAUUCUAAGCCGACGCGGAUACUAGGGUGAAGGGACCCUCGACUUUAUAGGGAAAACUGGGGGCACUUUUUUGACUGCCAUCUGGGCUAGCUGCAGACUUGGAUGAACUAAAAUUCAAUAUGGCGGUUUAGAAUAAUUCAAAUUCUUGAUUCGAGAGCCAGAAUGUAUUAAGCAUGUAUUAAGUACAUUUUUUUCAAAAAUAGUUAUGUACACUAUCAUACAAACUAAAAGAUGCAACAUAAUGGAUAAUAUAACCUAAUUUCGAAAAAUGUACUUAGUACACUAUAACAUAAAAGAAAACAAAAUAAUCAAAGUUAAAAACUAAUAUGGGAAACGAAUUUUUUAUUUUCUAUUUUAUAAUGGUAUACAGUAAAAAAUCCAUUUCUAAUGAAAUAUAUACGUACACGUGUUUAUUAAAUUGAUUCAUCCGUUCCGAUGUCUUUGCUGCUUCUAACACCGAUGUCCUCGCUGUUACGGUGUCGAUGAUAGCAUGGAUCAAUCUAAAAGAAUCUAAAACAAAAAUAUAUGUACUUUAAAUACUAUUACAAAGAUGUUAGAGACGAUGGAAAAUAAAAAUAAGUGUGGCUUACUGCUUAUGUCCAGUAUAUAGCUCGGUAUGAUCUUCGAUCAACAAUACUUUAAAGGAAAUGUAUGGAAUAAUAUAUACAAUAAAUGUAUGUGCGUUAAGAUUUGUAUACGAUGAUGAAUCAAUCAAAAUUGUAUAUCUGUAAUUUUCAAAUAAGGUUUCCAUAUUUAUAAAAUAAUGUUUCGAUGAAAAUAAAUAUGGAUAUAAUACAAAAUAAUGCUAUCAAAUGAAAAAGUAAAAUUUGAAUUCUGGUCUGAAUUAUCAACUAUACACCUUGUCAGGAAGAUUCGAAAAGCUAAAAAGUGUUGUCAGUGUAGUCACCAAAAAAAUUCGCUUAUAUGUUGUAAAUGUAAAAUUUAUAACAUGUAUAUAAUAAAUAACUGCAAAAUUAUAUUAUU